rnacentral:lncRNA from 1 species
UUGUAUUGGUUUUGCCAUACAUCAUUUUUUAAAAAAGAUUCUGACAUGGAAAUUGAUCUCCAGGAAUUGGCUGUGGCAAAGACUGGGGGUAAAGGUGGAGAUGGUCCUGAUGUCAGGGAGGAGGUUGCAUCAAAUACAGAGCCUGUUGAAAUGCCAGAAGCAGGUGAAGGGCAACCAUUUGCUUGAAAGAAGAUAAACUGGAACCAUCUAUGCUGUUCUUAUGUUGGAUAUUUGA